rnacentral:rRNA from 1 species
AUUGAACGCUGGCGGCAGGCCUAACACAUGCAAGUCGAACGGUAACAGGAAGCAGCUUGCUGCUUUGCUGACGAGUGGCGGACGGGUGAGUAAUGUCUGGGAAACUGCCUGAUGGAGGGGGAUAACUACUGGAAACGGUAGCUAAUACCGCAUAACGUCGCAAGACCAAAGAGGGGGACCUUCGGGCCUCUUGCCAUCGGAUGUGCCCAGAUGGGAUUAGCUAGUAGGUGGGGUAACGGCUCACCUAGGCGACGAUCCCUAGCUGGUCUGAGAGGAUGACCAGCCACACUGGAACUGAGACACGGUCCAGACUCCUACGGGAGGCAGCAGUGGGGAAUAUUGCACGAUGGGCGAAAGCCUGAUGCAGCCAUGCCGCGUGUAUGCAGAAGGCCUUCGGGUUGUAAAGUACUUUCAGCGGGGAGGAAGGGAGUAAAGUUAAUACCUUUGCUCAUUGACGUUACCCGCAGAAGAAGCACCGGCUAACUCCGUG